CCUCCUACAUAACCCUCCAUUUUUCUAUCGUCUAUGUGCCUAUCCAAGAGUUUCUUAAAUGCUCCUAAUGUAUCUGCCUCUACCAUCAUUCCUGGCAGCAUGUUCCAUGCACACAUUAAUCUCUGACAUCCACUCUAUAUUUUCCUCCAAGUACCUUAAAACUCUGCCUGCUUGUAUUAACCAUUUCCACCCUGCAAUAAAGUCUCUGGCUAUCCACUCAAUCGAUGCCACUUACCUUUUGUUCAUCACUCUCAGGCCAGCCCUCACCCUCCUUUGCUCAAAUGAGAAAAUCCCAAGCUUGCUCAAAACUGUCUUCAUGAGACACACUCUUCAGUCCAGGAAGCACCCUGUUAACCUCCUCUGCACAGUGAGCCACUUUCCUUCACCGUGCGGCCCAGGUGAAAGAACUCUCAUGAUAGCUUUGGCAAAGAGUUCCAGCAUUUAGAAGCUGCAAUGAUGAAGAGACAGCAAUUAUGUUUCCAGCUCGAGAUGAGAUGUCACGUGCCUGAAUUCUUUAUCCAUGGAAGGUUCUUUCAAAAUAGCAAAUGCAGGUACUGCAGUAUAUUUUGUAAAUGGUACACUUUGUAACUAGAACAUCAGAGGAAAUUAAUGCUUAAUGUGACUGAGGCGGUUUUGAUGCAGACUGACAUCUCUGGGUCGUAGUAAGUUCCCUGAGUAUAUUCGAACAGGAUUGGGAUAUCCAAUGGAGAAAAAUUCCAGCAUUAUUCUCUUGACUUGUGUCUUGCAGAAAGAUUAUUCUAUGGUUACGGAAUACUCACCAGAUCUUGAACAAAGUCAAGUGAAGUUAUGUGGCAGACCAGUUGAAUUUCUAGUCAAUAGUUACCUUCCCUUCUCCCCCUCCCCUCGCCCUACUGGACAUUAAUGGUGGGGACUCGGGGAUGGUAAUACCACUCAAUUUGUAGCAUCUUCUGUCACUUUUCCUACAUUUGGAAGCAGGGCUGCGACAAGAUGGAAAACAUAAUCUACACACUGAACUUAAUCAUUGUACAUGCUUUUACUCUCUGGUCAAUGCAAAUCCCUGAAUGUGGUUCUGAAAAGAGUCGGCACUUAAAUGGCAGCAAGUCUCAUCCACGGCAAAUCCUAAAAUCCUGCAUUUACUGACAGAUCUGGAGCACGGUCCUGCUGAUAUCUCCCAUCACUAGUCUUGGGUAUCACUUCGCUGAUUCUUCAACAGGUGCAGGGUCUAAUAUUCCACUGUUUUCAAAGGGAAUUUCCAGGCUGCUGAAUAAGAAGCAAAUGGAAAGAUAAAUGUCCUAAAAUGUUGGGUCCAAAUCAGAAUUGCAAGAACAGAAUACUGAGUUGCUUUACGACAGCAUGAUUAGUCCUCCACGUCAGACCAGGAGAUGGACACAGAACUUAUAGAACUGAGGCUAAACAGAAGAGAGGUCAUGAACCAUAUCUAGAUUACAGAAGAGGAGAUGCUUGCUGUCUUGAGGAAAAUCAAGGGAGG